CCUACGGGUGGCAGCAGUGAGGAAUAUUGGUCAAUGGCCGUAAGGCUGAACCAGCCAAGCAGCGUGCGGGAAGACUGCCCUAUGGGUUGUAAACCUCUUUUAUGCGGGGAUAAAGGCGUCCACGCGUGUAUGUUUGCAGGUACCGCAUGAAUAAGGACCGGCUAAUUCCGUGCCAGCAGCCGCGGUAAUACGGAAGGUUCAGGCGUUAUCCGGAUUUAUUGGGUUUAAAGGGAGCGUAGGCCGUGCUUUAAGUGUGCCGUGAAAUUUUGUGGCUCAACGAUGGAAUUGCGGCGCGAACUGGAGGGCUUGAGUGCGCGUAAGGCAGGCGGAAUUCGUGGUGUAGCGGUGAAAUGCUUAGAUAUCACGAAGAACCCCGAUUGCGAAGGCAGCCUGCCGAAGCGUUACUGACGCUGAUGCUCGAAAGCGCGGGUAUCAAACAGGAUUAGAUACCCUUGUAGUC
rnacentral:rRNA from 1 species